ensembl:lncRNA
UGCUGAGGUUGGCAGAGUCCUCUGAGUUCCUCUAACUUAAUCCCUGCCCAAGCAGGGACACCCAGAGCAGGGUGCCCAGGACAAAGUUCAGGCAGUUUUUGAAGUUCUUCAAGAAGGAGAUUCCACAGCCUCUCUGGGGCCGGAUGUGGAGAAGGAAUCUUACAGUUCAUAAACAAGAUCAUAAAAGAACAACUUGCUUUGUUACCACUUCUACUGAGGCUGUGAAACACGAGUUACUGAAAAUACUACACUGCAGCUUGUGUCCAUGAGGCUCAGGAGAAUGAGAUGCUGUGCUGCAAACAACUCAGAAGCAGGAAAGGAGAAGAAGGAGGGGAGAAAAUGAGCUGCCUCAGUAAUAUACCUCCUCUGACAAAGCUGAAAGUGCCUGGCUAUUUCUCAGCAAAUGAAAAAAAGUCUAAAGGAAUGAGGACUUGUGUGGCCUCCCCCAACCAAAAAAAUAAAAAAAGAGGAAAUGAGACUGUAAACUAUUCCUGAGGUGGAAGAAACACCAACAUGAAUUCUUGACAGAAAAAAAAAGUCCUUGUGCUGCUCCUCUGCCCCAUUUUGCAACUGUGCUAUCCUGGCAAAGACUUUUGGAUUAAAUCUACAGAUUACACUGGACCUGACUUCACUCAGAGACUGAAAUACGUGCCGCUCUCUUGAUGAGCAGAUACAUUACAUUCAAUCUAUCUAGCAGUUUUUGUCCUGCACAAGCCAAAUCUCCUUUCAACAUCAAUAUUAUUUAUUAGCUCAUGAGCUUUCCUCUGCAAGUCAUCACCAGGAGAUCUGAGAGCCUCUACAGACACUAGCAAGCCUAUUCUCAUACUGGGUGAGAGAGUGCUGGGGAAGUCAUAAGGAACCUGAAAUUUCAUGGAUGCCCAGUAACAGAUGUCUAGAACCUGUAUUCAAAGUCAUAAGAAUGGCUGAAUCAAAUGACCAUGAGACAGCUGUGUCCAAAUUUCUAUGUGGUAUUUAUAUAGUGAAUACAAAUGAGAAAUCUGAUUUGAAGGUGUGGAGAGCUCUGCUCCACUUAUGCAUGAAAGUCUCUUAUGAAAGUGUAUGCAAAAUUCAGAUGUGUGCCACUGGUUUUGGAGCUACAGAACAUGCAAUUUCCACCCCCGUGAUAAAUAUUCAUACCACUUAAUUGCACACAGAUAAUGACAUCUCCAAGUAUUGCUGCAGCAUCAUGUCUGCUUUCCUUUCUUAGUUGUUUCCUCAGAGGAUCAGUUCUGCUCUGCUUAGGACCAAAACCUGAGAGCAUUCCCACGGGGUUGUGCUGACAACACAGACAGUGGGGUAGUCACAAGUCUCUGGAAUAAGCUUUUCAUUAAGGUUCUUUAUCCUACAAAACAACCAAAAAGCAGUUGAGGUAGUACAGAGUUCACAGAGGCUAGUUUAUCAGGCUCCUAAGCAGACUAGCCAUGCAUCUAUAGCCUGUUUGUAUGACUCUCUCCACAAGUGCAGACAUAGCUUGCAAGGUCACAGAGAAUUCAGAAGUACAGGAACAGCAAAAGAGUAUGAAAAUUACAAAUAUAUUGUCAUGCUUAACAGGUUACAGUUGCUUUCAAACAGAAGGUAUCUCAAAGUUACCCACACCUUUUGCAAAUAAGCUCUUAAGGUGAAGUUUCAUUCAUUUCCAGUGAGGCUAGGGAGAGUAGACCAGUGUAACACUAGUGUGUGCAGGAGGGUCUUUCUAGGGCCUCACAGAUUUUAUCUAUAUUGGCAAGUAAUUCUGUGCAAUAGGAAGAGAUCAAUAAAUCAAAGCUUCCCCUUGUUCCUAGUUUAAUACAUUGCAAACCAAAUCCAAGUACAAGAAAGGAGCAACCAGGAGAUCUGUGCAGCAAUACAUUGCUGUUCCAAGCCAAGCUGUUGAUAUCAGCAUGGCCACACUUACUCUUACAGAGGACCUUAGAAAAUUAGAUCUUCAAAGUUUUACCUUAAAGGAGAUGAUAUGGAAAAGUCAUUCUUACCACUGACAAACCUAAACAUAAAACUCUGCUUUUCCACACAUCUUUCCCUUGCAGGUUUCAGUUCUGUCAGAGCACACAGCAUGUCAGACAAUUUUUGUUGUUGUUGUUGUUAAUCAUAUAAUACAGUCAGCUUUGUGGCAGGUAAAUGAAAUUUAGGCAUCUUUCUAUCUCCCUGUCAGUAUUUGGCCAUAAGAUUCUGCAUUAAAUUGUUCUUUGCUCCAAAGCUCGCCCAGAGCAACAGCACUCCAAGACUUCACUCAGCUCUUUGUUUUACAGCAGUUACAAUCAAACUGUUGUUCUUCGUGCUUUAAUGGAGAUCCUAGAAAAGGAGAUUUGAAAAAGAGGGUUAAGAACAGGUUUAUAAAACUUAAGUAUGUACCUAAUCUGUCUGGGAAAAUUCAUAAUUCACUUUGCACAUUUUUGAAGCUGUCUCCAGCCUUAAUAUCACAACAUCAUGCAAAGUCUGGAAGUAUGUGAUUAAUAGAUUUACCUAAUUAAAAACAAGCAAACAAAACAACAAACAAAAGUAAGUUUAUGUCUAAAACUGUCUGUUGGUGUGCCAAAUAUAUGCACAAAUAUAUACUGUAUUUUGUGUGUAUUUGUACAUUUAUAUGAAAACACACAUACAUAUAUAGAACUAUGUGUACAAUAAUUAAUAAAGCAAUGUUUCUUAUCAAUAAA